rnacentral:rRNA from 1 species
GACGAACGCUGGCGGCGUGCCUAAUACAUGCAAGUAGAACGCUGAAGAGAGGAGCUUGCUCUUCUUGGAUGAGUUGCGAACGGGUGAGUAACGCGUAGGUAACCUGCCUUGUAGCGGGGGAUAACUAUUGGAAACGAUAGCUAAUACCGCAUAACAAUGGAUGACACAUGUCAUUUAUUUGAAAGGGGCAAUUGCUCCACUACAAGAUGGACCUGCAUUGUAUUAGCUAGUAGGUGAGGUAACGGCUCACCUAGGCGACGAUACAUAGCCGACCUGAGAGGGUGAUCGGCCACACUGGGACUGAGACACGGCCCAGACUCCUACGGGAGGCAGCAGUAGGGAAUCUUCGGCAAUGGGGGCAACCCUGACCGAGCAACGCCGCGUGAGUGAAGAAGGUUUUCGGAUCGUAAAGCUCUGUUGUAAGUCAAGAACGAGUGUGAGAGUGGAAAGUUUACACUGUGACGGUAGCUUACCAGAAAGGGACGGCUAACUACGUG